rnacentral:rRNA from 1 species
AACGAGCGCAACCCUUGCCGUAUGUUAUAUGUGUCAUACGGGACUGCCGAUAUAAAGUCGGAGGAAGAUGAGGAUGACGUCAAGUCAGCAUGGCCUUUAUAUCUGGGGCGACACACACGCUACAAUGGCCGGUACAAUGGGUUGCAAAGCCGCGAGGUAGAGCCAAUCCCGAAAGCCGGUCUAAGUUCAGAUUGUAGGCUGCAACUCGCCUACAUGAAGCCGGAGUUGCUAGUAACCGCGCGUCAGCAUUAGUGCGGUGAAUACGUUCCCGGGGAUU